UACGUAGGAGACGAGCGUUGUCCGGAGUUACUGGGCGUAAAGGGUGCGCAGGCGGCCUGGCGCGUCGCGAGUGAAAUCUCCCGGCUCAACUGGGAGGGUGGUCGCGAGACGGCUGGGCUUGAGGCGUGGAGAGGGGCGUGGAAUUCCGGGUGGAGCGGUGAAAUGCGUAGAGAUCCGGAGGAACACCGACGGCGUAGGCAGCGCCCUGGACACGACCUGACGCUCAGGCACGAAAGCGCGGGGAG
rnacentral:rRNA from 1 species